CCUGCGCAGGCCCUGCCGCCGGAAGACGUUCGCCGGCGCCAUGUCGAAGAAAAAAGGAUUGAGUGCAGAGGAAAAGAGAGCCCGCAUGAUGGAAAUAUUUUUUGAGACGAAAGAUGUAUUUCAGUUAAAAGACAUGGAGAAGAUUGCUCCCAAAGAGAAAGGCAUUACUGCUAUGUCAGUAAAAGAAGUCCUUCAAAGCUUAGUUGAUGAUGGUAUGGUUGACUGUGAGAGGAUUGGAACAUCUAAUUAUUAUUGGGCUUUUCCAAGUAAAGCUCUUCAUGCAAGGAAACGUAAAUUGGAGGUUCUAGAAUCUCAGUUAUCUGAGGGGAACCAAAAGCACGAAAACCUGCAGAAAAGCAUCGAGAAAGCUAAAAUUGGCCGACAUGAAACGGAAGAGCGAACCAUGCUAGCAAAAGAGCUUUCUUCACUUCGAGAUCAAAGGGAACAGCUAAAGGCAGAAGUAGAAAAAUAUAAAGAAUGUGACCCACAAGUUGUGGAAGAAAUACGUCAAGCAAAUAAAGCAGCCAAAGAAGCUGCUAACAGAUGGACUGGUUAAAGAUUGGCUCUCAAAAGUAAAAACCCAAAUGCUUUUUGAGACACCCCUGUAAAAUACACCUUACCAAUCUGGAGGAUGUAUCAGCUGCAGAAAGGGUUUUAAAUUAACAAGAUCAAGCAAAACCACCUAGUAAUGCACAGCACAAUCUUUCACCUCAGAGAAGAAAGGGCCAACAAGGAAAAGAAUCACAGGAUUUGAGACCUAGGAGAGAUCUCCAGGAGGCAACACCAACCCAGCGUCCCCAUCUCGCUGUUAAAGAUCUGGAGACCUAGAGACCUUCACCAAGAGAUUGGAUGUGACAUUAACAAUGGAGGGGACUGGGGCUCUUCAAGUGUUUCAGGUCUGGGUUCAAGACACCUCAUCCAUGUUGAUCCUGGCACUCACACACCUUUCAGGAGGCGCUGUAUCUACCUUCCGCCUUCAUGAACUCCAUGUUCUGACCAAAGAAAAUGCUCUCCUCCACCCUCUCCCAAUUUUAUUGCCUAGAAAUCCCUUCUGCUCUCACUUCAUGUAUGAGUACUGUUUUCUUUUUACAUAUUUUAAAAACCCUUUAUAUAUACAUCAUAGUACUGUAUGGUUUUUCACUGCAUCUGUCAUAGUUAUCUUUGCCAUUUCCAUGUAGUGGAUUUAUUUGGGGGUGUUUCCCGUUUGGAGCUAUUACAAAUAA